AGAUAGAUGGCUCAGUGGUUAAGAGCACUAGACUGCCCUUCCAAAGGACCUAGGUUCAAUUCCCAGUAUCCA
rnacentral:tRNA from 1 species